GAAAAAAAAAAAGAGAGAAAAAAAAUAUAAAAAAUCGUAAUCGGCUAUCUUACAUUUCUAUGAAUCCAGCACAACACCGCGAGUUUCAAGAAUGGUGGAACAAACAACGCCAGUUUCUAGACCAAUCCGACGACGCUUUGCUCACCGUCGAGAUCCGCAGCCCCACUACACCCGAUAACACCGUCGACAAAGGUCAUACUCGUAGUGCCCGCCAGCUCUCCUGGCUUUGGCUUCUCAAAUUCCAGCAACUCGCUAGCUCCCUCGCUUGGUUCACAAACGCCUUGUUUUAUAUCCUCCGUACUGCCAACCGUAGGAUCGCUAGCCCAGACUCACUCUCCGAUUCAUCCUCCUCGCGCCUGUAUAGGAUCAUUAGAGUGUUCUUGAUUCUGGUCAUUUUGUUACUCUGCUUCGAGUUAGUUGCGUAUUUUAAGGGAUGGCAUUUCAGCCCGCCGUCGGUGGAGUCCGCCGAGGCCAUGGUGGAGAGAGUGUAUGCCACAUGGUUGGAAAUCAGAGCGAAUUACUUAGCGCCGCCGCUGCAGAGCUUGACCAAUGUGUGCAUUGUUUUGUUCUUGAUACAGUCGGUGGAUCGUGCGCUUUUGGUGUUGGGGUGUUUUUGGAUCAAGGUUAGGAAAUUGAAGCCGGUAGCGGCUGUGGAGUAUGGAAAUGUGGAUGGAGAGAGUGUGGAGGCGUAUCCCAUGGUGUUGGUGCAGAUCCCUAUGUGCAAUGAGAGAGAGGUUUACCAACAAUCCAUUGCAGCGGUUUGUAUCCAGGACUGGCCAAAGGAGAGAAUGCUUAUACAGGUUUUGGAUGAUUCUGAUGAGUUAGAUGUCCAACUCCUUAUCAAGGCAGAAGUGCAGAAAUGGCAACAAAGGGGUGUACACAUAUUGUAUACACAUCGUCUUAUACGCACAGGCUACAAGGCUGGCAACCUCAAAUCUGCAAUGACCUGUGAUUAUGUAAAAGAUUAUGAAUUUGUGGCAAUAUUUGAUGCAGAUUUUCAGCCAGCACCUGAUUUCUUGAAGAAAACUAUUCCUUACUUCAAGGGGAAUGAUGACCUAGCAUUGGUCCAAACAAGGUGGGCCUUUGUAAACAAGGAUGAGAACUUGCUUACAAGACUGCAGAACAUAAACUUAUCAUUCCACUUUGAGGUUGAGCAGCAAGUCAAUGGUGUCUUCUUGAACUUCUUUGGUUUUAAUGGAACUGCUGGUGUAUGGAGGACUAAGGCCCUUGAGGAUUGUGGUGGUUGGAUGGAACGGACAACUGUUGAAGACAUGGAUAUUGCUGUUCGUGCUCACCUUUGUGGAUGGAAGUUUAUAUAUCUGAAUGAUGUUAAGUGCCUUUGUGAACUUCCAGAGUCCUAUGAGGCAUACAAGAAACAGCAGCACCGCUGGCAUUCAGGUCCAAUGCAGUUGUUCCGCUUGUGCUUCCUUGAUGUACUUCGCUCAAAGGUAAUGAAUGAAGUUUUAAACAAUUGCUUUGUUUUGUGAAAUUAAAAGAUUACAGUAGAAUGUUACUUGAGAUACUGUAGAAAGGUAUAAUAACUCUUUCCAAGAGGCUAAGUACAGUACUUAAUUCUUUUGACAAAGCAUAAAACAUCGAAAAGCAUUUAUCUGAACAUUCAAAAUUAAAAAGAUAAGUUUGUAUGCGGUAGUUUCUGAUGCUCUAAAAUGGCAGAGAAUUUUGUUUAAAAUUUACCAUGGACCACAAUUAUUUGUUCAUAUAAUCAUUUCUAUUGUUUAGAUUGUCAGGGAUUCAACCUGUAAUUUAGUAAGCUUCAUGAUAAAGUGGGCCUUCUGAACAUGGCUACAUAAUAUUAAAUAUUGCCCUUAGAGUAGCGAGUCAAAACUAUAUUUUAGUGCCUCGUUGCAAGCCUAUACUUGGCUAUAUAUCAUGAUAGAUCUGAGAGAAAUUUCCUAUUCAAAUGAUCUACUCUGAUCUUCAUGUGUCCUCAUGGUGAAAAUUGACUCUUCAGCCAUAUAAUUGUAGUGUGAAGUUUCUCUUAUGUUAAAACAAGAUAGGAAGUCUACAUCCGGCACUUCUACAUUUUGUUUGCCAGAAUGCAUUUGCUCGUAACUAUCCUAUCUUCUUAGUUUAUAACUGUGGAGUUAGAACAUGGUUGGAGUAAAUGAGAUUUUAAUAUGUGAGUUGCUCAGGUAAUUUCACCCAUAGCAUUCAACUUCUCUCUCAAAAUCAAGUGUGGUAGGCAAACUACAAUUUAUUGGAAGAGAACAUUUCAAUUCAGACUUGGUUUGAAUAAGGUGAUUUUGUGAUAUCUCAGUCGAUAGUUGGCAGAAAUCUGACAUGGCAUCUUACUGAUAAUCUACCUAAUUCCCCAAUUUGGAGGAGGGAGGAGAAGGAAAACAGAUUUAGAUUUAAAUGAUCCAUUCUUGCAUCUCUUGAUUUAAGAUGGUAGUUAUUAGACUGCAAUGUCAGAGUUCCUAUGUGUUUCUGACUGGAUUGUGCCUCCAUUAAUAUUGUUGAAAUGAAAUUACACUUUGUUACGAUUUCUCAAACAAGUACUAAAUUGAAUGACCAUGGGUGAGAGAAACAUCUAAAACUCCUACACAGAGAAACAAACAUCUGCAUUUGCAUGUUUGUUUGUGCGUGUAUGGUGUUGGUGGAAAUUUGCAAAGCUGUUAUUCCAUUUUACCAUGGAUUCCUACCUGUGGUGGAUCUAGUAAAUUUUUUCUGGGGUCAACCCAAUUUAACUAACAUUUUUUUUGUGAAAAGAAGAGUUACUAGAUUUAAGUAAGUUAUACGAAAAAGCAAUCUAUUUUAGUGUUUUACCAAAAAGAGGGUUCAAUAGAUAAUUAAAUUUAUGAAGGGUCAAUUUAAACAUCUACAUGUAUAUGCAUGGAAUAUUUUAAUAAAAAUGGGCCAAUUUCUUUUUUGAAGGUGGAUCCGCUGAUGAUUCCUAACCAAGAUGAGAGGUGAAGAAGUGGAAGGGAAGGAAGAUGAAGGGAUGAGGGAGAAGAAGGGUUGGAUAAGAGAGAGAGAGAGAGAGAGA
rnacentral:misc_RNA from 1 species